rnacentral:tRNA from 1 species
ACCAGAAUGGCCAAGUGGUUAAGGUGUUGGACUUAAGAUCCCAUGGACAUGCAUGGGUUCAAACCCCACUUCUGGUA